GCCCUUAGAGUUUGAUCCUGGCUCAGAAUGAACGCUGGCGGCGUGCUUAACACAUGCAAGUCGCACGAGAACGCUUCAGCUUGCUGAAGUUAGUAAAGUGGCGCACGGGUGAGUAACGCGUGGGUAAUCUACCCUUGAAUUGGGGAUAACCCGCCGAAAGGCGGACUAAUACCGGAUGACAUCUUGAAUAUUUAGGUAUUCAUGAUCAAAGAUGGCCUCUACAUGUAAGCUAUUGUUUGAGGAUGAGCCCGCGUACCAUUAGCUUGUUGGUAGGGUAAUGGCCUACCAAGGCUACGAUGGUUAGCUGGUCUGAGAGGAUGAUCAGCCACACUGGAACUGACACACGGUCCAGACUCCUACGGGAGGCAGCAGUGAGGAAUUUUGCGCAAUGGGGGAAACCCUGACGCAGCAACGCCGCGUGAGUGAUGAAGGCUUUCGGGUCGUAAAGCUCUGUCAAGUGGGAAGAAUUCAUAUGGUGAUAAUACCACCUUAUGCUGACGGUACCACUGAAGGAAGCACCGGCUAACUCCGUGCCAGCAGCCGCGGUAAUACGGGGGGUGCGAGCGUUAUUCGGAAUUACUGGGCGUAAAGAGCGCGUAGGCGGUCUUUUAAGUCAGGUGUGAAAGCCCGGGGCUCAACCCCGGAAGUGCACUUGAAACUAAGAGACUUGAGUAUGGGAGAGGGAAGUGGAAUUCCUGGUGUAGCGGUGAAAUGCGUAGAUAUCAGGAGGAACAUCAGUGGCGAAGGCGACUUCCUGGACCAAUACUGACGCUGAGGCGCGAAGGCGUGGGGAGCAAACAGGAUUAGAUACCCUGGUAGUCCACGCAGUAAACGGUGAACACUAGGUGUAGCGGGUAUUGACCCCUGCUGUGCCGCAGCAAACGCAUUAAGUGUUCCGCCUGGGGAG
rnacentral:rRNA from 1 species